rnacentral:tRNA from 1 species
UAAGAAAUAGGUAAAAGGAAUACCACAAACCUUUGAAAUUUGUAUUAAGAGUUCAAAUCUCUUCUUCUUAA